AACAUCGCGCACCUGCGGGAACCUGCGGAGGGAUCAUUAAUUACGCCCUGCCUUAUUGCUAGGCAUGGGAUUCUUCAACCUAAGCCACCAUGGUGAACUAAAACAUAACUUGCUUCCCGUGACCGGUCUCUCCGUAAAAAGGGAGAUUGGAAUACUCGGGCAACCAAACCCCUGCAAACUUUGUUUGUAAAAAAACCUGUUUAAAUUGAAAAAUUGUCUGAACAGAAAUUUCUAUAAAAU
rnacentral:misc_RNA from 1 species